rnacentral:rRNA from 1 species
GUAGUCCUUGCCGUAAACGAUGUAUACUUGGUGUAGCCGGAAUCAACCCUGGCUGUGCCGGAGCUAACGCGUUAAGUAUACCGCCUGGGGAGUACAGUCGCAAGGCUGAAACUCAAAAGAAUUGACGGGGACCCGCACAAGCAGUGGAGCAUGUGGUUUAAUUCGAUGCAACGCGAAGAACCUUACCCAGGCUUGACAUACAGUAGACAGCUCUAGAAAUAGGGUCUUCCUUCGGGACUGCUGAACAGGUGCUGCAUGGCUGUCGUCAGCUCGUGCCGUGAGGUGUUGGGUUAAGUCCCGCAACGAGCGCAACCCUUAUCGUUAGUUGCCAACAUUUUAGGUGGGAACUCUAGCGAGACUGCCCGGGUUAACCGGGA